CGUGAAGCUGGAUUCGCUAGUAAUCGCGCAUCAGCCAUGGCGCGGUGAAUACGUUCCCGGGCCUUGUACACACCGCCCGUCAAGCCAUGGGAGCCGGGGGCGCCUGAAGUGCGGUACCGCGAGGGCCGCCCAAGGGGCGAGACCGGUGACUGGGGCUAAGUCGUAACAAGGUAGC
rnacentral:rRNA from 1 species